UACGUAGGGUGCGAGCGUUGUCCGGAAUUACUGGGCGUAAAGAGCUCGUAGGUGGCCUGUCGCGUCGGCUGUGAAGACUCGGGGCUCAACUCCGAGCUUGCAGUCGAUACGGGCAGGCUAGAGUUCGGCAGGGGAGACUGGAAUUCCUGGUGUAGCGGUGAAAUGCGCAGAUAUCAGGAGGAACACCGGUGGCGAAGGCGGGUCUCUGGGCCGAUACUGACACUGAGGAGCGAAAGCGUGGGGAGCGAACAGG
rnacentral:rRNA from 1 species